GGAGCUAUGCAGCCACGCAACCAUGAUUGUAGCACACUAAGGAGCACACACACUGCAUGAACAAAGCUGGUGGAUACGUGCUGGAAAUUUGCUUCUCAGCAUGGCCACAGAGACAAAUAGCAGUGCAUCUACUUUGUUAGGACUUUAGAAAAUGUGUGGUGCUCUAUUAGUGAACCAGAAAACAGUAUAAAUUUGUCACUAAUUUAAUUUCUCACAGACAUGCAAAACUGUGCAGUCUGAAGUGCAGAACCUUUUCAAACUUUUUGUUUAAACUUUUGACAGAGACAAUAAUUGGUCCAGAAAACUAAGCUGUUGACCUGGAGCUCAAAUUGAAUAUAAAUAUAUGUCUCUGGCUAGAUGAUUCAGCUUUAAAAUCACAUCAAAAUGAUCUAUUUAUGAAAAACGUCCUUUUCUGGAUCGUGAUGUACUUAAAUUCCAGGUUUUGAUGUUCACAUUUCUAUAUUUAUCCUCCCACUAUUUUAAAAUACAUGCUCAGCUUCCUCAGGUUUCUUAAAUGUAAUUCUUCUUAUAGAAGAAGCACACCAUAGAAAAUUUUUGCCUCAGAGGUAUACAUUUGGAAAAAAACACACUAAGCAUAAGCAGUUUCCUUAAAGCUUAUAGUGACAUAGUAAAUCGAUCCUAACGAAUACAGACAAUGUCUGUAAAUCACUCCAAAACACUGGUGUGAGCAGAUGUCCGAGGACGCCUGCCGCCUGUUCCUGAACCGCCUGGGGCGGAUUUCAGCCCCGGCUUUCCAACGCCGCCUGUGAAAUCCGGCCAAGUUACUCGCGUUUAUGAUCAGGACUCCCAAACCUGUUUGUCACACCUCUUCCGCUGGGCUCGGCCAGCGAAGGCAACCGAUUCUAUCAUUAUCUGAACUGAAGAAAUCCACUGGCCCCCCGACCGAGCAGCACCCUGGGCUGCCCCGGCCGCUUCCCGCGCCUUUGUCACCUCAGAACCCUCCAGUCGUCACCGCUUCCCUGCCCGCCCUUCCUCCUCUCCUCCCAGUCCCGCUUAGGCAAACAAGGCCUGUUACAAGCAGCCAGUGAAGAGGAAAACUCUAGCGAUGCUAAAAAGGAGAAAUUAAAGUGUAUCUAAAACUCCUACAGCACCCUGCGAACCCCAAACACGCUACCGGG